GUAAUGUAGACCUAGUCCAAGCA
rnacentral:piRNA from 1 species